rnacentral:rRNA from 1 species
UACCCGUCGCUCUAGUUGUGACCAUUAUUAUUGAGUCUAAAGCGUUCGUAGCUGGUCUGAAUAGUUCGUGCUUAAAUCGCUCAGUUUAACUGGGUGGCAUGGUAUGAAUACUUUCAGACUAGAGGCCGGGAGGGGGGCUGGGAACUUUUCAGGUAGGAGUAAAAUCCUUUAAUCUGAAAAAGACCACCAGUGGCGAAGGCGCAGCCCCAGAACGGACCUGACGGUGAGGGACGAAGGCUAGGAGAACGAACCGG